AACGAACGCUGGCGGCAGGCUUAACACAUGCAAGUCGAACGCCCCGCAAGGGGAGUGGCAGACGGGUGAGUAACGCGUGGGAACGUACCCUUUACUACGGAAUAGCUCCGGGAAACUGGAAUUAAUACCGUAUGUGCCCUACGGGGGAAAGAUUUAUCGGUAAAGGAUCGGCCCGCGUUGGAUUAGCUAGUUGGGGGGUAAAGGCCUACCAAGGCGACGAUCCAUAGCUGGUCUGAGAGGAUGAUCAGCCACAUUGGGACUGAGACACGGCCCAAACUCCUACGGGAGGCAGCAGUGGGGAAUAUUGGACAAUGGGCGCAAGCCUGAUCCAGCCAUGCCGCGUGAGUGAUGAAGGUCUUAGGAUUGUAAAGCUCUUUCACCGGGGAAGAUAAUGACGGUACUCGGAGAAGAAGCCCCGGCUAACUUCGUGCCAGCCGCCGCGGUAACAC
rnacentral:rRNA from 1 species